GGUUGUUAUUUUGGUGAAAUUUGUUGGAUAGCUGGAAGUUCGGUCUCACGAGCAAGGCGUUCUGCAGCAUCCAAUGCAUUGCCGGUUUGAGUUUGUUUGAGUUUCGAAUCUCUUGAACUUGGCUCUCAUUCUAGUGUGGACCUCUCUCUUGUUGGAAGUGUGAGUGAUGGAUUACUCCGGCUAUAACUAUUGUAGUGUAAAUAUUGGCACAACAACUUUCUAUCUCACAGUAAGGUGUACAAAUCUAGAAGAUUGACCAACGAUGUAGAAGUCUCCAAGGUCUCCUUCGCAAACCUCUGCUGCUUAAAAACCGGAAAUGCCUCCAGUAUUACCGCAUUCAAUGGUCAAAAUGCCAAUUUAAUGAGAACAACUCUUGUAUCUGCUGUGGGGAACCAAACAAUUAUCGGCAGUUACGUUUUCUGGGCGUGCCUCGUGUUUAAUGGAAACAAUAGCUGGAGCUCUGAGAGAUACUGGGUGCAAUGUGGAAAAGAGGGACAGUUAAAGUAAUUGAGACCAGUGGGUACUUGCAUUAUGAUGCCAACAGCGUUUCAAAGUGAAGUUCAGCAAAACAUGCAGG